rnacentral:rRNA from 1 species
CUGGCUCAGGAUGAACGCUGGCGGCGUGCUUAACACAUGCAAGUCGAACGGGGAACCAUUGUAGCAAUAUAGGUGGUUCUUAGUGGCGGACGGGUGAGUAACGCGUGAGGAACCUGCCUUGGAGAGGGGAAUAACACAUUGAAAGAUGUGCUAAUACCGCAUGAUAUAUCAAUUUCGCAUGGGAUUGAUAUCAAAGAUUAAUCGCUCUGAGAUGGCCUCGCGUCUGAUUAGCUAGUAGGUGGGGUAAUGGCCCACCUAGGCGACGAUCAGUAGCCGGACUGAGAGGUUGACCGGCCACAUUGGGACUGAGAUACGGCCCAGACUCCUACGGGAGGCAGCAGUGGGGAAUAUUGGGCAAUGGGCGCAAAGCCUGACCCAGCAACGCCGCGUGAAGGAAGAAGGCCCUCGGGUUGUAAACUUCUUUUAAGAGGGACGAAAGAAAUGACGGUACCUCUUGAAUAAGCCACGGCUAACUACGUGCCAGCCGCUGC